GUGGUAGUAGCUCAGUUGGUUAGAGCACUAGGUUGUGGUCCUAGGGGUCGUGAGUUCAAAUCUCAUCUACCACC
rnacentral:tRNA from 1 species